rnacentral:lncRNA from 1 species
CGCGUGGCCGCCGGUGUCCUCCCCACGGGACUUGGCUGGCGCGCGCCACGGUCACGCACAGACCCUGGGGGCUGGCCACCCACUCGCGCGGCUGAGAGUGCAGACUUUAGGGUGGGUGGAAACCGGCCGAGCUGCAGUCCACGCUGCGCGAGCGCUGGUCCUCGGAAAACCGUCUGACGCAGGUUACACCUGGCUACCACCUUUCCUAGCUCGGUCCUCUGCAAACCGAGCACAAGCCCUCAAGUCCAUUGCUGGCCCACCUCAGCAGCCACAGCGGGGACCAGAGUCAGCACCUGGACAGCCCAGCACAGGCAGCGUGGGUAGAGUGGCCUUUCCUCCUGGGACAACGCUGUGGGAGUGUGCCCCAYACCUCCGGAGAGCUGCUCUAGUUGGGGGUCUCUAAGUUGCCCAGCUGGACUUGAACUUGCCAUCCUCCUGCUUCAGACUGGGCUAAGCAGUAGCUGGGAAAGGAGGCGUGAACCUGCAGAAGGCUGGGGACAGUGCGGAAGGAGCUGGUCACGGAGCACCUAAGUUCCUGUGGUUGUGGGGCAGGAGCAGCUGGGGUAGUGUCACCCCUGCCUGCCAGGGAGGAAGCCAAAGCUCUUCGGGGUCAGGGAGCAGUGGAACUGGGACCGACUCGCACCCCAGCCACGGACAGCUGGAGACCAUGCCCCUGUGGCUUGAUUAGGGAGCAUGUCAACACAGGUGGCACUCCUGAGGAGAAGGAGCACUUGUCCUGCAGCAGAGCCUGGCACUCUGUGCUGAUGUGGUCUCAGAGGACAUGCGUCUGCCUGCCACUCAUUCACCUGCUCCUGGGCCUGUUGUACCUUAUUCCCCUCCCCAGGCUCUCUGGGCCCCAUUUGGCCUCAUCCCAGGCACCCUGCACACAGCACUCACAGGAAGCCAGCAGAGCUCCUCCCUUCCUUCCCGUGGCGGUGCAGACCUCAAUGACUUGGCAGACACUGUGGCCUCUGCAGGGUGCUGUGUCUCUGGCCUCUUCCUGGAAGGCAAUGGGGAGCACAGGCUGGCUGAAGUUCUGCUGAUGCCCAGAACCCAGAGAGGGCCUCCCAGGCACAGAAACUGCACAGCAGAUGGCAGAGGAGGUGGAACUCUGGUGUCUUCCACAAAAGCACCUGGAGGCCACUCUGCUCUUAAAGACAGCAAUAAUUUAUGCCAUGGACACAACAGGAGAGCCAACAGGUGUUUUCUGGCGUGACCCAGCUCCCAGCAGGCCACUGGUGGCCCCCCACGCUCUGCCACUGUCGGAUGCAGUCUCUGCCUGGGAAGGAUGCGGUCUGCUCUGGAAGGUGACUCUGGGCCGAGGCCAGGACCGGGCAGAGGAAGCCCCCACACUGCACGGGCCACCCUGCGUCUGUAGGCAUAGCCUCGGCAGGCAGUCAGGGAGGGAGCGGUGUCUUCUCCUGGUUAUCGCCAAAUAAACCACAAGCCAGAGCCCCCGCUGGCA